rnacentral:rRNA from 1 species
AGUGAACGCUGGCGGUAGGCCUAACACAUGCAAGUCGAACGGCAGCACAGUAAGAGCUUGCUCUUACGGGUGGCGAGUGGCGGACGGGUGAGGAAUACAUCGCAAUCUACUUUUUCGUGGGGGAUUACGUAGGGAAACUUACGCUAAUACCGCAUACGACCUACGGGUGAAAGCAGGGGAUCUUCGGACCUUGCGCGUUUGUAUGAGCCGAUGUCGGAUUAGCUAGUUGGCGGGGUAAAGGCCCACCAAGGCGACGAUCCGUAGCUGGUCUGAGAGGAUGAUCAGCCACACUGGAACUGAGACACGGUCCAGACUCCUACGGGAGGCAGCAGUAGGGAAUAUUGGACAAUGGGCGAAAGCCUGAUCCAGCCAUACCGCGUGGGUGAAGAAGGCCUUCGGGUUGUAAAGCCCUUUUGUUGGGAAAGAAAAGCAGCAGGUUAAUACCCCGCUGUUCUGACGGUACCCAAAGAAUAAGCACCGGCUAACUUCGUG